rnacentral:snoRNA from 1 species
UUUUCUUUAAAAGAAGAUAAUGCAAUCUGAGUUCUGGGAACUAGGUGAUGGAGCGUGUUCUGAGAACGGACUGAGACCG